rnacentral:rRNA from 1 species
GAGUUUGAUCCUGGCUCAGAUUGAACGCUGGCGGCAUGCUUUACACAUGCAAGUCGAACGGCAGCGCGGGGCAACCUGGCGGCGAGUGGCGAACGGGUGAGUAAUAUAUCGGAACGUACCCAAGAGUGGGGGAUAACGUAGCGAAAGUUACGCUAAUACCGCAUACGAUCUAAGGAUGAAAGCAGGGGACCGCAAGGCCUUGUGCUCCUGGAGCGGCCGAUAUCUGAUUAGCUAGUUGGUGAGGUAAUGGCUCACCAAGGCGACGAUCAGUAGCUGGUCUGAGAGGACGACCAGCCACACUGGAACUGAGACACGGUCCAGACUCCUACGGGAGGCAGCAGUGGGGAAUUUUGGACAAUGGGCGCAAGCCUGAUCCAGCAAUGCCGCGUGAGUGAAGAAGGCCUUCGGGUUGUAAAGCUCUUUUGUCAGGGAAGAAACGGCGCCGGCUAAUAUCCGGCGCUAAUGACGGUACCUGAAGAAUAA